rnacentral:rRNA from 1 species
UGCGUAGGGGGCAAGCGUUGUCCGGAUUUAUUGGGCGUAAAGCGCUCGCAGGUGGUUCGAUACGUCGUGCGUGAAAGACCCCGGCUCAACUGGGGAGGGUCGUGCGAUACGGUCGAACUGGAGGCCAGUAGGGGGAUGCGGAAUUCCGGGUGUAGUGGUGGAAUGCGUAGAGAUCCGGAGGAACACCAGCGGCGAAGGCGGCAUCCUGGACUGGUCCUGACACUCAUGAGCGAAAGCGUGGGGAGCGAUCCGG